rnacentral:rRNA from 1 species
GACGAACGCUGGCGGCGUGCUUAACACAUGCAAGUCGAACGGAAAGGCCCUGCUUUUGUGGGGUGCUCGAGUGGCGAACGGGUGAGUAACACGUGAGUAUCCUGCCCUUGACUUUGGGAUAACUUCAGGAAACUGGGGCUAAUACCGGAUAGGAGCUCCUGCUGCAUGGUGGGGGUUGGAAAGUUUCGGCGGUUGGGGAUGGACUCGCGGCUUAUCAGCUUGUUGGUGGGGUAGUGGCUUACCAAGGCUUUGACGGGUAGCCGGCCUGAGAGGGUGACCGGCGACCUUGGGACUGAGAUACGGCCCAGACUCCUACGGGAGGCAGCAGUGGGGAAUAUUGCACAAUGGGCGGAAGCCUGAUGCAGCAACGCCGCGUGCGGGAUGACCGCCUUCGGGUUGUAAACCGCUUUCGCCUGUGACGAAGCGUGAGUGACGGUAAUGGGUAAAGAAGCACCGGCUAACUACGUG